rnacentral:lncRNA from 1 species
UCAAGUCUUUACUGCCUACAGUUAUAAUCUACGCUAUUGGAAUGUUAUUAGGGGGUUGGACAUUCAUAGCUUCCUGCUGUGUUCUAGCCUGUUUACUUACGGGUUGGUUCAUCAUGGGAACCUAUUGUUUCAAGAAAUUGAUCCAGUUGUAGAUUUGAUUUUUGAUCCAACGAUUUGUUUAUGAAGGUUAUUUAACCAAGACUGUUGAAAUAUAAAACAGUACAUCAUUUUGCUUGUUUUGACUGUGGAGAUGGCAAGGUCUUCGUCUUUGUGUGUAGUCUUAUUCCUUGGUUUGCUUUUCAUACUCUCGAUCUGUCUUAUCGUCGAUUAUUUCCGAUUUGAAGACACGCCCAUGUACUAAUUAACGCCCAUAAGAAUUGAAAUCAUUCUUCUUUCUUGAAUCUGAAUUUAUAGAUUAGUAUGUGUGUUUACAAGUUACUGUUGUUUCGUCAUUGCUAUGACGAGCAAUGAAAGAUUGAAAACGGACCAGCCGUGUAGUUGUGUGACGAUUAGACGACAACAUGUUUGUCAUCUUUAUGGACUAGUGAAGAAACUAUAUGGCGUUGUAUGAAUUGCAACUUUUUUGCUUUGGUAAAAUGUUAAGAUAAUUGCAAGUUUGUUGACCAAAAAAAGAAAGAAUUGCAAGUUUGUUUCUUUUUUGUAUAAUAUAUCUAUAAUGUAUAUUCAAUACCUUUUUAUCAACUAUUAUAUUUAUAUAAAUUGAAAAAGACAUACAAAAUACAUAGAAUUAUAAAACAGAAAACAAAACUAAAAUAAUAAAAAGACAAUUAAACAAGAGCAGAUUAACGCUCUAAAUUUUAGAACUUCUUUUUUGUUGUAUAACAUUGGCCAAAUCCCAAGUCCGCUUCAUUUCUUUGUUUAUUGUAUGGACUAGAAAGGUAAAUAAAAGCUUCCGUCCUUAGAAACAUUCUUCAUGCAAAACUCAACUGAAAUUAAAAAAAAAAAAAAACUUAACUAAAAUUUGAAUUUUCCAAAAUCCUGAAACAUUUUACUGUGCUUACACUUUCUGGCUCAUGAACUCUAAAGAGUUGACACAUAAUUGUAGAGUACUUGGACCAUUGGCAUCAUCACACUUCACAACAGAGGUGCGUACGAGGGAAACCAUCCGUUGAAAUCACUGUUCUAAAAUACGCACAAUGCGGUCGUCUAAGCGACAUAUAUACGCUGUACGGGUGCAUGAGGUACCGAAUUUGGUGGUUCAGUUUAUUUAUACGGCAUAGUCUAUUUUUGAUAUUGUGAUUAGUAUUAAUGAAGAAAAUGAUUAUAAUGGACAUGUCAAAUAUUCAAAUUACUCUAAAAGUAUGCGUGGAUUCAUUAUAUGAACUUAUGGGCUUGCACGAUUUUCAUUUUGUUGAAGUAGUUGUAUUUUAUUGUUCAGUUUUUUUGUUCAACAUAUUUAAACGUAUAAUGUAACUCUUUGUUUCACAUCUGUUUUUUUUACAAAAAUAAAGUCAUCUUAGUAUAUGUUCAGAAUACUACUAUUUAUCGUAGAUAAGAAAAUAAUAAGAACGGUAUAAAUUUAUGAUAAAAAUAUGGAUAUGCCAAUUUACUUACUAAAUAUUCUAUUUUUUCUUUGAAACAUUUACCGUAUAUGCCCCGCAUAAACGUCGGCAUAUACAGCUAAACAGUAUACGGUAGUUCACCGUCCGACUAGCUUCUGCCGUGUAACCUAACCAGAGGCUUGGUCCGUCUCUUUUUACUCCACGUGUACAUCCAUUAAUUUCCGUGCCUCUCUCAAAAUCUCAACUCUGGUAAUAAAAGUCUCACUUGGUCGCUGAUUUUUCCUCUCUCUCUCAUCAGAUCAAGAAUCAUCAGAUCAAGAAUGACAAGCGAGGUGAGAGAGAAGAAGAUCAAGACCAAUGGGAUUUGGUUAAACGUGACUGAGAAAGGAGAUGAGGGAGAACCUUUAGUUCUGUUACUCCAUGGCUUCCCUGAGACAUGGUUCUCGUGGCGUCACCAGAUCGAUUUCCUGUCAAGCCAUGGUUACCACGUAGUUGCUCCAGAUCUCCGAGGCUACGCUGACUCCGAUUCUCCUCCGACCCAUGAGUCUUACACUGUGAGCCACCUCGUCGCUGAUGUCAUCGGUUUGCUCGAUCACUACGGCACUGCUCAGGUGAAACUGAUCUCUCAUCUUAUCAAAGAUUCCAACGGUUAGAUUUAGAUCAGUAUAUGAAAAUAUUUUACGUUUCUCAAUGUUAUAGGCUUUUGUGGCUGGACAUGACUGGGGAGCCAUCAUAGGUUGGUCUUUGUGCUUGUUUAGACCAGACAGAGUCAAAGGUUUCGUAAGUCUCUCUGUUCCAUAUUCUCCAAGAGAUCCAAAUCUCAAACCUUCGGAUUUAUUCAAAAGCUUUGGAGAUGGGUUAUACAUCACUCAGUUUCAGGUAAUUAAAAAAAAGUAUUUUCAAGAUUUGUGGUGUUUCUAUUGUCAUCGUCUGAUUCAGUUCCUUGGUUCUGUCUUUACAAGGAACCUGGAAGAGCUGAGGCUGCAUUUGCCAAGCAUGAUUGCUUGACAGUUAUGAAAAAGUUCUUGCUAACAACAAGAACAGAUUUCUGGGUGGCUCCUCCUAAUACAGAGAUCAUCGAUGAUCUUGAAGUUCCAUCGACGCUUCCAGAUUGGAUAACUGAAGAAGAGAUUCAGGUUUAUGCAGACAAGUUUCAAAAGUCUGGGUUCACAGGCCCACUGAAUUACUACAGAGCCAUGGAUCUGUAAGUCUUACUUCCAUUGAUUCAGUCGAAUCCUUUGCUGUUACUUUAAAACAAAGUAUUGAAAGUGUGAGGAAAUUACAGGAACUGGGAGAUAUUGGCGCCGUGGCAAGGCUACAAGAUUGUUAUUCCAACAAAGUUUAUCGCAGGAGACAAAGAUAUGGGAAAUGAAGGAGCUAAUGGAACGAUUAAGUAUGUGAAGGGAGAGAUGUUCAAGAGUAUUGUACCUAAUCUUGAGGUUGUUGUUAUUGAGGAUGGUCAUCAUUUUAUCCAGCAGGAGAAGUCUGAACGAGUCUCACAGGAGAUUCUUUCUUUCUUUGACAAGUUGAGAAACAUAACAGAGUAAUGAUCAUGCCAUUCUAUGGCCUUAUAAGAAAAACUAUGGUGCUAGUAUUAAGUACACUAGUGAUGUAUGUCCAAGAAUAAUGCCGAGUGAAAAUAAUGUUUAAUAAAGUAAAAGAUAUAUCUAUUAUUCUCUAUGUGCAAUACUUGUUUGAAGAAACUUGGAAGGUUUACACAUAGGUAAAUUUCAAAUGAAUUAUCUUACUCUUUAUGUUCAUGUGUUUCUUGUUCCAUAAGCUUCUCCACAUUUUCUUUAUUUAGGGUAGAAAGGUUUCUUUUGAAUCAUGACAAUGACAAGCUAGACGCCACAUGUAACCUAAACUGGAAGCUGUUGGAAUAGACUAAAAUCUGAAUCAUGAGACUGAACCAUACUUUGUAAAACAAAAUCUACACAUAUUUAAGUUUUAAGUAGGGGUGGGCAUUUCGACUUAAAUUCCAAUUCGAUUUUUUUUGUUCUUUCUUGGUCUUUGAUUGAAAUUAACCGAAGUUAGUUUGGUUUAUAUUUGGUUCAGUUUAGUUCAAUUUUGUUUAUGACUAUUCAGUUUAGUCGAGUUGGUUUUUUAGUUUUGUUCUAAUUCGGUUACAAAAAUAUAAUUUAUAAUAAUGGCUUAUUUUUGCUCAAAAAAAUAUAAUUUAUAAUAAAUAAAAAAAAUAUUAUCUAAGACUAAAUUACUAAUUUAUUCAUAUUUAAACAUAAAGCCAAACGUAUAAUAAAAACGUAAAAGAUGUUAUCCAAUCAUUUUCUAUUAUUAUCUUGGAACUUAAUAUAAAUAUCACAAGUACUUUUUCCGUUUUGAAGAUAGUUUAUGAAAUCUUAUUCUUUUAUUUUAUUGUUAGUUGUGUGUCUUAUAUUUAUUUAUAAGUAAAAUAUAUAAAAACCAUGUUUAGUUGUUUAGGUUAGAUAGUUAAAUAUAUCUUAAUAGUAUUACUAUAUUUAGUUAGUCUAAUUAUAUAAACUAGGGGUGGGCAAAAAACCCGAACCGAACCGAGAAACCGAUGUGUUUUUGUAAUUAUUUAAAUUAAAAAUAUUAGUAAUAUCAAUAUACUAAAAUUCUAAUACCAAACCACGUAUUUUCCAUUUUUCAUUUAUUAACAUAUAUUCUUCUAACCUAAUAUGUAAUCAUCAAAAUAUUUGAUUUAAGAAAAAUAGAAAACUAUGUAUUUUUAUAUUCUUAUAUAGGUAAACGUGAAUGUUAAAUCUAAACCUAAAAUCUAAAGCAAAUUUUAUUAAAAACAAAAGUUCUUCUCCAUAGCGUCAUAUGGAAGAUGAUUCAUUGCAGAAUUUUUAAUAAUUAUAUAAGCACUACAAGAAAACGUGCCAAUAACAACGAAGAUUUACGACGAAAAUGUUCAGGCCGGUACGAGGAGCAUUAAAAACUAAAGUUAAAAAAAAAUCACGGACGAGGAAAUUUACAUGGUGUUUACAACGCAGUUACGAGGAGACCAACUUUCGUCGUAAACGCCAUGUAAAUUUACGAUGAAAUAUGUUCGUCGUAAAAUCCAUGUAAGUUUACGACGAAAAUACGUGGAAUGAGAAAUACGUCGUAAUCGUUACAUCGACAUUACAACGAAACAUGUUACCGUUAUACUUAGGUGAAAACGUGUAUUCAAUGUGCUUUAACUUACCUAAUUUCGUCGUAAAGUCGUUGUAAAUAUUAUGUUAAAACCAUGUAAAAUCCAUGUAAAACAUUCUUCGUAAAAUCGUUGUUAUAUUUCAACUACCCAACUCGAAAAUUUCUCUAUAUAUAUGUCAUUUCCCACAACUCUCUUCCUCACAACACACAAACGGAAAAAAAAAAUCCGAAAAAAUCAGAAAAAAAAAAGAUUUCAAAAAAAUAUCUAAGAAAAAAAUGGCCGGUGGAGGUAGUAUUUACGAGUUACGGAGUUGGGUGUAUUUGCACAAAGAUUCCGACGGGAGGGUGACGAACGCAUUUCUGAGCGGGCUAGAGACAUUCAUGCACCAGGCGGGCUGUACACCGAUCACGCAGGAAAGCGGUAAGAUGUUCUGCCCCUGUCGGAAAUGCAAGAAUUCAAAAUUUGCACGUAGUGAAACUGUAUGGAAGCAUUUAGUAAACAAUCAACGUUGAACCCUAAAUCGCCGUGGGAGAGCGACGACUCACGACGGAGAAGACAAGGAGAAAAGGAAUUAGGUUUGCGGCAUCCCGCGACUCCUUUUUCCCAUUUAGUGUUUUUUUUUUAAUUUUAAUAGAUUUUACUUUUAACAUUAAAACGAUUUUUUUUAUAAUUUUUAUAGAUUUUAAUUUUAACAUUAAAACGAAAAUUAUUAUAAUUUAUAAUUUAAAUUCAACAUAAUUGGUAAAUUAAGGGUACUUUGGUAUUUUACAAGAUCUAAAAUCUUAUUUUCCUAAAAUAUCUUCUAGAAAUCCUAAUGUGACAAAUCCAAGUUCAAAGUGUCCUAUUUAUCCAAUUUUCCCUUAAAAUUAAGCAUGUAUAUAAGCUGAUUCUUGUAAAAACUUUAUCAUUAAUGUGAAUAUAAAAAACUUUCAGUCUCUCUCAUCUGAUACAAAAUCACUCUCAACGUGCGAAAUUCAAAGAUUUCUCUUAAGUGUUGUAGAAGUUCUAUACUGUUGUUGAACUAAGAAGACGAUUAGUGGGAAAAAUCACCUCAAGAGUGAAGAAUAUCAAAAUCACAAAAUCGCAUUUCCUCUUCUUUGUGUUAAUCCUUAAUAGGUAGCAAUUUUACCAGAGCGAGAGAGAAAGUGGAGGAGCAGAAUCUACAGGUCAGUAUCCGUCAGGAAACGAUGCAGUAUUAAUAUAUUUGACGUUUUUUAAACUCAACAGCGUGCCGUUUUCAUCAUACUAGACCGAACGCUAUGUCGUCGUUUAUUUUCACAGAAGGGAUUACUUUAAACCAAGUAGCCAAACAUGUUCAUUAGCGAUCGUUCCUAAGAAAGGAAAAAGGCAGUGACGAAUCACUGGUCGCCGUUUCUGGCCUCAGCGAAGGAGAAUCUUUUGUGUAGUUAAUGUAAGAUCGGAGCCUAUCAUCGUCGUCUCCUCUGCUUAAAUUGGUACGCUUUGAUCUAUUAGCUGUUGGGACUCGUUGCUAGUCGGAUGUGAAUCUAUAGUCGAUCUUCUUGAUCACUCAUCUGCCAAAUUCUAGGGAUUCAUCGUAUUGUCAUUUAACACUGGCGAAAUUCAUAGAACCACGAUAACGUUUACUUAGCUAAUCUUUGUGAUGUUUAGCAAUAUUUGUUUUUUUUUAAAGCAAUUUGUUGAUAAGAUAAACUUUAGAAUUUCAGAUUUAUACAGAAAUCAAUGAAUUAAUGCAUUUCUCACAAGUUUAUUAUCAAUCUUGUAAACAUUUCUCAGGUUUCGAACUUGUUUUUGCAUUUUUAUGGUACAUUGUUCAGAAACCAAAACAUUGUUUUGCUGUAACUAUAGAGUUCACUUAGUUCAUUGUUUUGUUGUUUAAAGAAGAGAGAAUCGAAUAAGGAAGCGCACUUGGACUUGGAAAAUGGGAGAGACAACAACAGAUUCAGAACAUGGCAUCAUGCUCGGUUUUGAAGAUCCCAUGAGGAUUGAUCCCAGAAGAGAUCGUUUCCCGUGCUGCAUCGUCUGGACACCUCUCCCCUUCAUUACAUGGCUGGUUCCCUUCAUCGGCCACGUUGGUAUCUGCAGAGAAGACGGUGUCAUCCUCGACUUCGCAGGACCUAACUUCGUCUGUGUUGACAAUUUUGCUUUUGGAGCUGUGUCUCGUUACAUCCAGAUCAACAAGGCUAAGGUAACCUUUGCAAAGAUGCUGCCUUUCGUUUUGUUUCCUUUGCUGCAAGUUAACAACUUUGGCUUGGUUUGAUCAGGAAUCAUCUCUUUCGUCCGGCUCAUGUUUGUUCAAUGAGGAAGGAGACACUCAUGAGAAAGAGCCAACGUGGGAUGAUGCACUGAGGAAAGGCACGCAAGAGUACCAACACUAUUCGUAUAACAUAUUGACGUGCAACUGUCAUUCCUUUGUAGCCAACAACCUGAACCGUCUUGCGAUACGAUCAGGUGGAUGGAACGUGGUGAAUCUCGCGGUGCUAGUGUUCCUCAAGGGACGUUGGGUUAGCAAAACGGCGAUGGUCAAGUCUUUACUGCCUACAGUUAUAAUCUACGCUAUUGGAAUGUUAUUAGGGGGUUGGACAUUCAUAGCUUCCUGCUGUGUUCUAGCCUGUUUACUUACGGGUUGGUUCAUCAUGGGAACCUAUUGUUUCAAGAAAUUGAUCCAGUUGUAGAUUUGAUUUUUGAUCCAACGAUUUGUUUAUGAAGGUUAUUUAACCAAGACUGUUGAAAUAUAAAACAGUACAUCAUUUUGCU